rnacentral:rRNA from 1 species
AUUGAACGCUGGCGGCAGGCCUAAUACAUGCAAGUCGAGCGAGCGGCGGACGGGUGAGUAAUGUCUGGGAAACCGCCCGAUGGAGGGGGAUAACUACUGGAAACGGUAGCUAAUAACGCAUACCAUCAGAUGUGCCCAGUUGGGAUUAGCUAGAUGGUGGGGUAACGGCUCACCAAGGCGACGAACCCUAGCUGGUCUGACAGGAUGACCAGCAACACUGGAACUGAGACACGGUCCAGACUCCGACGGGAGGCAGCAGUGGGGAAUAUUGCACAAUGGGCGCAAGCCUGAUGCAGCAAUGCCGCGUGAGUGAAGAAGGCCUUCGGGUUGUAAAACUCUGUCAGCGGGGAGGCGUUACCCGCAGAGAAAGCACCGGCUAACUCCGUGCCAGCAGCCGCGGUAAUUC